AUUGAACGCUGGCGGCAGGCCUAACACAUGCAAGUCGAGCGGAGCGGCGGACGGGUGAGUAAUGCCUAGGAAUCUGCCUGGUAGUGGGGGAUAACGUCCGGAAACGGGAGCUAAUACCGCAUACUAUCGGAUGAGGCUAGGUCGGAUUAGCUAGUUGGUGGGGUAAAGGCCUACCAAGGCGACGAGACGUAACCGGUCUGUGACGAUGAUCAGUCACACUGGAAAUGAGACACGGUCCAGAAUCCUACGGGAGGCAGCAGUGGGUAAUAGUGGACAAUGGGCGAAAGCCGUAUCCAGCCAGGCCGCGUGUGUGAAGAAGGUCGUCGGAUUGUAAAGCACUUUAAGUUGGGAGGCGUUACCAACAGAAUAAGCACCGGCUAACUUCGUGCCAGCAGCCGCGGUAAUAC
rnacentral:rRNA from 1 species